rnacentral:ncRNA from 1 species
UAAAAAGCUUUGACGGGAAUCCAGUAGUGCUUCUAUCCCUGUUUCCAGAAAGCCGGCGGAGGCUGCGAGCCGGUACAAAUAGAAGGAUGAAUUACCUCCCCGAGCGCCGCUGGGAAAUCAGUAGCAGCGGACGGUCUAACCGUUAUCUUUUCGAGUGGAAGACAAUUUGUUUUCAAGCCGGGUGGUACCGCGCAUACAGCGCCCCUGCA